rnacentral:misc_RNA from 1 species
AACUCUCAAAGCUCCUUGCUUUUGUCAUCAAGGCGGGGAUGUUUUGGACUUGGACGUGUUUUGCUGGCCUGGUUUCAGCUCGUCCUAAAUGCAUUAGCUUGGCCUUAGUAAUGGCUUCUGCUUACCUGGUGUGAUAAGUCACUCGCUGGGUUUGAAGCUGUGAAGGGUUGCUUCUAAUCGUCCGCAAGGACAAUAGUAUUAAGU